rnacentral:rRNA from 2 species
GUGUAAAGGCACAAGCGAGCUUGACUGCGAGACAGACAGGUCGAGCAGGGACGAAAGUCGGGCUUAGUGAUCCGGUGGUUCCGUAUGGAAGGGCCAUCGCUCAACGGAUAAAAGCUACCCUGGGGAUAACAGGCUUAUCUCCCCCAAGAGUCCACAUCGACGGGGAGGUUUGGCACCUCGAUGUCGGCUCAUCGCAUCCUGGGGCUGUAGUCGGUCCCAAGGGUUGGGCUGUUCGCCCAUUAAAGCGGUACGCGAGCUGGGUUCAGAACGUCGUGAGACAGUUCGGUCCCUAUCCGUCGCGGGCGUAGGAAAUUUGAGAGGACCUGUCCUUAGUACGAGAGGACCGGGAUGGACAUACCGCUGGUGUACCAGUUGUUCCGCCAGGAGCACCGCUGGGUAGCUAUGUAUGGACGAGAUAAACGCUGAAAGCAUCUAAGUGUGAAACUCGCCUCGAGAUGAGAUUUCCCAUUUCCUUCGGGAAAGUAAGACCCCUCAGAGAUGAUGAGGUAGAUAGGAUGGAAGUGGAAGUGCCGUGAGGCAUGGAGCGGACCAUUACUAAUCGGUCGAGGACUUAACCAAG